rnacentral:rRNA from 1 species
UACCAGCACCCCGAGUGGUCGGGACGAUUAUUGGGCCUAAAGCAUCCGUAGCCGGUUUUACAAGUCCUCCGUUAAAUCCAGCUGCUUAACAGAUGGGCUGCGGAGGAUACUAUAAGACUAGGAGGCAGGAGAGGCAAGCGGUACUCAGUGGGUAGGGGUAAAAUCCGUUGAUCCAUUGAAGACCACCAGUGGCGAAGGCAGCUUACUAGGCUGUAACUGACGCUGAGGCACGAAAGUGUGGGGAUCGAACAGG